rnacentral:rRNA from 1 species
AGCCGAAACUGUUGGGAAACAGUGCCGAAGACAGUGAAAGCCUGGUAGGCGAAAAAGAGAAACGCGGAGAUGGCACCGGAGUACCGCGGGACACGAGAAAUCCCGUGGGAAGCAGGGGGGACCACCCUCCAAGGCAAAACACAGAUAUCGACCGAUAGCGCAUAGUACCAUGAGGGAAAGGUGAAAAGCACCCCGGGAGGGGAAUGAAAGAGAACCUGAAACCGUAUGUUUACAAGCAGUCGGAGACCGCUUAAUAAUAAGGUCGACGGCGUGCCUAUUGAAGAAUGAACCGGCGAGUUACGAAGCCUGGCAAGGUUAAGCAGGAAAUGCGGAGCCGAAGCGAAAGCGAGUCUUAAGAGGGCGCAAGUCAGGAAGCGUAGACCCGAAACCACAGUGAUCUACCCAUGUCCAGGUUGAAACACAGGUAAAAAUGUGUGGAGGACCGAACCUAUAUCCGUUGAAAAGGGUUAGGAUGAGGUGUGGGUAGGGGUGAAAUUCCAAUCGAACGUGGAGAUAGCUGGUUCUCCCCGAAAUAGCUUUAGGGCUAGCCUCAGGGAAAAGAUUGCAGGCGGUAGAGCACUGAUCAGGAGAGGGACCUACCCGGUUACCAAACCCAGUCAAACUCCGAAUGGCUGCAAUCAUACCUGGGAGUCAGACUGCGACUAAUAAGGGCCGUAGUCAAAAGGGAAACAGCCCAGACCAUCAGCUAAGGUCCCCAAUGCCGUGCUAAGUGGCGAAGGAUGUGGCAUUUCAUAAACAACCAGGAUGUUGGCUCAGAAGCAGCCACCAUUUAAAGAGUGCGUAAUAGCUCACUGGUCGAGAGACGCUGCGCCGAAAAUGUCCGGGGCUCAAGCACGGAACCGAAGCUAUGGCAUGAUAGCAAUAUCAUGGGUAGGGGAGCGUUCUUAUAAGGAAGAAGCAUGACCGGAAGGACAUGUGGACGAAUAAGAAGUGAGAAUGCCGGUAUGAGUAUCGAAAAGAAAGGUGAGAAUCCUUUCCACCGAAAGCCCGAGGGUUCCUGAGCAACGAUCGUCGACUCAGGGUAAGUCGGGACCUAAGCCGAGGCGAGAAGCGUAGGCGAUGGACAACAGGUUGAAAUUCCUGUACCGGAUCAAGUCGAUCGAGCGAAGGAGCGACGCAGGAGGGCACAUGAUCGCGCGGCUGGAAGAGCGCGUCCAAGUGCGUAUGUUGCAGCAGAGGAAAACCCCUGCAGCUAAAAGCAGAGACAUGAUGGGGAGUUAAAGGAAACUUUGACGAACUCAUGGAUCCCACACUGCCAAGAAAAACUUCUAGCGAGACAAGAUCCGCCCGUACCGUAAACCGACACAGGUAGGCGGGGAGAGAAUCCUAAGGUGCGCGGGAAAACCCUCGUUAAGGAACUCGGCAAAUUGCAUCCGUAACCUAGGGAGAAGGAUGGCCCCCGGUCAGUGAAGAGCAGAAACGCUCAGAGCUAAAAGGGGCGGCAGAAAAGAGGCCCAAGCAACUGUUUACCAAAAACACAGGUGCCUGCGAAAGCGAAAGCUGAAGUAUAGGUGCUGACGCCUGCCCGGUGCCGGAAGGUUAAGGAGAGAAGUUAGCGAAAGCGAAGCAUCGAACUGAAGCCCCGGUGAACGGCGGCCGUAACUAUAACGGUCCUAAGGUAGCGAAAUUCCUUGUCGGGUAAGUUCCGACCCGCAUGAAAGGCGUAAUGAUUUGGGCACUGUCUCAACGAGGGGCCCGGUGAAAUUGAAAUACCUGUGAAGAUGCAGGUUACCCGCGACUGGACAGAAAGACCCCAUGGAGCUUCACUGCAGCUUGAGAUUGAAUCCCGGUGACAGAUGCACAGGAUAGGUGGGAGGCGCCGAAGCAUUGCCCUAGGGCGGUGCGGAGCCGAUGUUGGGAUACCACCCUUCUGUUGCUGAGAUUCUAACGCGAGGAGUAACGACCCUGCGGACCCUCUCAGGCAGGCGGUUUGACUGGGGCGGUCGCCUCCGAAAGAGUAACG